rnacentral:tRNA from 1 species
AAAGUUUUUAAUAUUAAGCUUCUAACUUAAUUUAAGCAAUAAAUUUGUUAAACUUUU